GAACUUAGCAGAGAUGCUUUGGUGCCUUCGGGAACUCUGAGACAGGUGCUGCAUGGCUGUCGUCAGCUCGUGUUGUGAAAUGUUGGGUUAAGUCCCGCAACGAGCGCAACCCUUAUCCUUUGUUGCCAGCGGUCCGGCCGGGAACUCAAAGGAGACUGCCAGUGAUAAACUGGAGGAAGGUGGGGAUGACGUCAAGUCAUCAUGGCCCUUACGAGUAGGGCUACACACGUGCUACAAUGGCGCAUACAAAGAGAAGCGACCUCGCGAGAGCAAGCGGACCUCAUAAAGUGCGUCGUAGUCCGGAUUGGAGUCUGCAACUCGACUCCAUGAAGUCGGAAUCGCUAGUAAUCGUAGAUCAGAAUGCUACGGUGAAUACGUUCCCGGGCCUUGUACACACCGCCCGUCACACCAUGGGAGUGGGUUGCAAAAGAAGUAGGUAGCUUAACCUUCGGGAGGGCGCUUACCACUUUGUGAUUCAUGACUGGGGUGAAGUCGUAACAAGGUAGGCGUAGCGAG
rnacentral:rRNA from 1 species